GAUUAUGGCUCAGAACGAACGCUGGCGGCAGGUCUUAGGCAUGCAAGUCGAACGGAUGAUAAGAGAGCUUGCUCUCUAAAGUCAGUGGCGCACGAGUGAGUAACGCGUGGGAAACUGCCCUUCACUGGGGAAUAACGUUUGGAAACGAACGCUAAUACCGCAUACGCCCGCAAGGGGAAAGAUUUAUCGGUGAUGGAUGUGCCCGCGUUGGAUUAGCUAGUUGGUGGGGUAAUGGCCUACCAAGGCGAUGAUCCAUAGCUGGUCUGAGAGGACGAUCAGCCACGCUGGAACUGAGACACGGUCCAGACUCCUACGGGAGGCAGCAGCUAAGAAUAUUGGGCAAUGGAGGAAACUCUGACCCAGCCCAUGCCGCGUGAAUGAAGAAGGCCUUCGGGUUGUAAAGUUCUUUUAGUCAUGAAGAUGAUGACAGUAGUGACAGAAAAAGCACCGGCUAACUUCGUGCCAGCCGCGGC
rnacentral:rRNA from 1 species